CGUUCUCUCACCCAGGCUGGAGUGCAGUGCGGUGAUCAUGGCUCACUGCAGCCUCGAACUCCUGGGCUCAAGAAAUCCUCUCUCCUUGGCCUCUCAAAAGUGCUAGAAUUACAGGCAUGAGCCACUGUGCCUGGCUACUGAUGUGCCUUUUCCUGAAGAGAUUAAAGUGGAGAGGAGGAAAGAGAAUAAGAAUGUGGAAGGAAGAAACGAAGUCCAUCUUCUAGGUUCUGUGUGAAGCCCGUUAGGAUGUAUAAAUGGAGAAGUCCAGCAACAAUGGAGAUGUGGGGCAGAUUGGUCUUCUGCAUUCCUGACGGACCAACACAGCUGGCCACACAUGCAAAUGGAAGUAACAAUGACCUACAGGUGUGAUUCUGGAGGCGCUGAUAAGGGCCAUCCAUCUAGAGAAGUUGUUUCCUCAUUCUAUGCCCUAAACCAGUUUGAUGUCUGAAAUCCAACUAUUAGCACUUCACACUGUUAGCAUAAAGUUAAAGCCUAUUAAGCUUUUG
rnacentral:lncRNA from 10 species